rnacentral:rRNA from 1 species
AUACGUAGGGAGCGAGCGUUAAUGGGAAUUACUGGGCGCAAAGCGUGCGCAGGCGGUUUUGUAAGACAGAGGGGAAAUCCCCGGGCUCAACCUGGGAACUGCCUUUGUGACUGCAAGGCUAGAGUACGGCAGAGGGGGAUGGAAUUCCGCGUGUAGCAGUGAAAUGCGUAGAUAUGCGGAGGAACACCGAUGGCGAAGGCAAUCCCCUGGGCCUGUACUGACGCUCAUGCGCGAAAGCGUGGGGAGCAAACAGGAUUAGAAACCCUAGUAGUCC